rnacentral:rRNA from 1 species
GAUGAACGCUGGCGGCGUGCCUAAUACAUGCAAGUCGAGCGAACGGACGAGAAGCUUGCUUCUCUGAUGUUAGCGGCGGACGGGUGAGUAACACGUGGAUAACCUACCUAUAAGACUGGGAUAACUUCGGGAAACCGGAGCUAAUACCGGAUAAUAUUUUGAACCGCAUGGUUCAAAAGUGAAAGACGGUCUUGCUGUCACUUAUAGAUGGAUCCGCGCUGCAUUAGCUAGUUGGUAAGGUAACGGCUUACCAAGGCAACGAUGCAUAGCCGACCUGAGAGGGUGAUCGGCCACACUGGAACUGAGACACGGUCCAGACUCCCACGGGAGGCAGCAGUAGGGAAUCUUCCGCAAUGGGCGAAAGCCUGACGGAGCAACGCCGCGUGAGUGAUGAAGGUCUUCGGAUCGUAAAACUCUGUUAUUAGGGAAGAACAUAUGUGUAAGUAACUGUGCACAUCUUGACGGUACCUAAUCAGAAAGCCACGGCUAACUACGUGCCAGCAGCCGCGGUAAUACGUAGGUGGCAAGCGUUAUCCGGAAUUAUUGGGCGUAAAGCGCGCGUAGGCGGUUUUUUAAGUCUGAUGUGAAAGCCCACGGCUCAACCGUGGAGGGUCAUUGGAAACUGGAAAACUUGAGUGCAGAAGAGGAAAGUGGAAUUCCAUGUGUAGCGGUGAAAUGCGCAGAGAUAUGGAGGAACACCAGUGGCGAAGGCGACUUUCUGGUCUGUAACUGACGCUGAUGUGCGAAAGCGUGGGGAUCAAACAGGAUUAGAUACCCUGGUAGUCCACGCCGUAAACGAUGAGUGCUAAGUGUUAGGGGGUUUCCGCCCCUUAGUGCUGCAGCUAACGCAUUAAGCACUCCGCCUGGGGAGUACGACCGCAAGGUUGAAACUCAAAGGAAUUGACGGGGACCCGCACAAGUGGUGGAGCAUGUGGUUUAAUUCGAAGCAACGCGAAGAACCUUACCAAAUCUUGACAUCCUUUGACAACUCUAGAGAUAGAGCCUUCCCCUUCGGGGGACAAAGUGACAGGUGGUGCAUGGUUGUCGUCAGCUCGUGUCGUGAGAUGUUGGGUUAAGUCCCGCAACGAGCGCAACCCUUAAGCUUAGUUGCCAUCAUUAAGUUGGGCACUCUAAGUUGACUGCCGGUGACAAACCGGAGGAAGGUGGGGAUGACGUCAAAUCAUCAUGCCCCUUAUGAUUUGGGCUACACACGUGCUACAAUGGACAAUACAAAGGGCAGCGAAACCGCGAGGUCAAGCAAAUCCCACAAAGUUGUUCUCAGUUCGGAUUGUAGUCUGCAACUCGACUACACGAAGCUGGAAUCGCUAGUAAUCGUAGAUCAGCAUGCUACGGUGAAUACGUUCCCGGGUCU